AGAAAAAAAAACAUAGGAAUCUUCACAAAAACAAAAAGGAAACUGAGAGAACACUCCGACACCGAGGCAAGUUUCACUAAGUUUCGCACGAACAAAGAAAGACAGGGAAAAAUUGACAGGGAGGGAAUGUGAAGAGAGCAACAGUUUUGUGUCUGGAAAAUUAUUGAAUCUGAAGUUCAUAGAGAAAAAAUGAUAAAUAAUAAUUUGUUUACAGGCAAGGUUCUGAUGACUUUCAAUUUCAACGAAAGAAGGGUGUAAAUGAAACAAGUUCCAGCCUUUGAUGCCUUUCAACACAAACAACAGACUGUUAAACAAAUGACCUCAGCCAGACAAAUCAAAUGAAAUUAAGUUUGUUCAUGCUAAAAGUUUGCUAUAGGAUAUGUUUUAACUUAAUAAAUUCAUGAUUGAAUCUCUUAUUUACUCCUAUUCUAUUAAUUAUCAUCACUCAUAAUUCCCUAAGUUAGCCACGUGCAAUCUAUUAAAAUGCCUCUUCAAGUGGGCCCUUUUCAUCCCUGCAAAUACUGAAGAGGCUAAGAAACUCUAAAUAGAUCAGUAAAGGGAUCAAGUAGCUCAACCAUACGAAAUAAUUUUACCAAUAAAAAAAUACUUUGAAAGAUAAGUAACCAGACAAAUAGUACUAGACAAAAAAAACUAAACACAUUCAAAACAUUUCAUACCCUGAUAACGAACGGGACCUUGACCUUGAGCGAGAACGAGAGGGAGAUCUUGAUGGAGAUUUAGCAGGUGAACGCUGUGAAGACUUUCCUUUUGGAGAUUUAGCAGGUGAACGCUGUGAAGACUUUCCUUUUGGAGAUUUGCUGC
rnacentral:lncRNA from 1 species